CACGUCCCUGUAUAAGCUCCUCUGGGCAGGGCCCACGUGGUGCCAUUCUUCCCGGGUGAAGUCCACAGCCACAUCUUUGAAUGUCACGGACUCCUGUGGGAUCACAGGCCUGCUCAGAUUCAAACAUGGGACUAUAGAAACGACCGAAAAAGGAUAAAAAACGACAGCCUUUCCCUCCUCGUCCUCUUUAUCUCCCCACGUGAUCCUUCUCAACAGUUGGUGUGUAUACUUGGAAGUCCCAUGUCCAUGUUUUACUCACGUACUGCAGGCACACUUCAUGAAACAUCACACAUAUUGCUCUGCAAAUUGCUUCUAUGUAUUUACUAUUUUUUU